rnacentral:rRNA from 1 species
AGUGAACGCUGGCGGUAGACCUAACACAUGCAAGUCGAACGGCAGCACAGUAAGAGCUUGCUCUUACGGGUGGCGAGUGGCGGACGGGUGAGGAAUACAUCGGAAUCUACUUUUUCGUGGGGGAUAACGUAGGGAAACUUACGCUAAUACCGCAUACGACCUACGGGUGAAAGCAGGGGAUCUUCGGACCUUGCGCGAUUGAAUGAGCCGAUGUCGGAUUAGCUAGUUGGCGGGGUAAAGGCCCACCAAGGCGACGAUCCGUAGCUGGUCUGAGAGGAUGAUCAGCCACACUGGAACUGAGACACGGUCCAGACUCCUACGGGAGGCAGCAGUGGGGAAUAUUGGACAAUGGGCGCAAGCCUGAUCCAGCCAUACCGCGUGGGUGAAGAAGGCCUUCGGGUUGUAAAGCCCUUUUGUUGGGAAAGAAAAGCAGCAGGUUAAUACCCCGCUGUUCUGACGGUACCCAAAGAAUAAGCACCGGCUAACUUCGU